UACGUAGGGUGCGAGCGUGUCCGGAAUUAUUGGGCGUAAAGAGCUUGUAGGCGGUUUGUCGCGUCUGCUGUGAAAAUCCGGGGCUCAACCCCGGACUUGCAGUGGGUACGGGCAGACUAGAGUGUGGUAGGGGAGACUGGAAUUCCUGGUGUAGCGGUGAAAUGCGCAGAUAUCAGGAGGAACACCGAUGCGAAGGCAGGUCUCUGGGCCACUACUGACGUGAGAAGCGAAAGCAUGGGGAGCGAACAGG
rnacentral:rRNA from 1 species